UACGAAGGGGGCUAGCGUUGCUCGGAAUUACUGGGCGUAAAGCGCACGUAGGCGGCUCUUUAAGUCGGGGGUGAAAUCCUGGAGCUCAACUCCAGAACUGCCUUCGAUACUGGAGAGCUUGAGUCCGGGAGAGGUGAGUGGAACUGCGAGUGUAGAGGUGAAAUUCGUAGAUAUUCGCAAGAACACCAGUGGCGAAGGCGGCUCACUGACCCGGUACUGACGCUGAGGUGCGAAAGCGUGGGGAGCAAACAGG
rnacentral:rRNA from 1 species